GGAGGGGUUCCCGAGUGGCCAAAGGGAUCAGACUGUAAAUCUGACGCGCAAGCUUCGGUGGUUCGAAUCCACCUCCCUCCACCA
rnacentral:tRNA from 1 species